rnacentral:sRNA from 1 species
GAUAUCCAAUCCCCAAAGCCUCCACUAAAGUAGUACUAGUAUUCUAGAAGCUUCGGAUGGAGCGCCGCCACCGUCCUCGCGCCGCCGCCGCCGCCGCCGCUUCUGCCUCCGUCUCCGCCGCCGCCCACCACCCGGGGGGAGUGCGUGUACAUCCCUACCAUACGUCGGCAGGGGUGGUGAAGGGGAAGCUCCACACCCGCAAGGCCGCGACGACGUAGUACUACCACGUCAGUUCGAACAACUCCAUCCAGGAGGUUCAUCAAGGAGUAGUUGGGGGUCAGAUUCCAAGGAUUGGUUGGCAGAUUGAUCCAAUUUCGCACUCUGCAAUUCAGGAUUACUGCCUAGGAAUUGAUGAUUUUUUUUCUCCGGGUUGAUUACCAAGAUAGUGAUACGCGGAAAGGGAACAGAAGAACUCGAGGUUGUGAGAGGGGCUCCAAGACUCUCGGCUCGUCAGCUGAUUUAAGCAAAUAUUAUGACGACAAACCAUGCCAUGAUUACAAUGGAUACAGACUUCAAAAUUCAAUUAUGAUUUAUCAUUAUGGAUAAAGUUGGUUCAGAAUGAUGGACAAACUAAUUCAUUAUGUCAAUAAGGUUAAAGAUGAUCAUUAAUAUUACUAAUACUGACUAUUGUUUAGUUUCUUUGUUUUGGUUUCACCAUGAAGUUGCAGUCAUGGCAUUACAUAAUGCAGAUAUCUUGAACUUGUGAUAUGAUGAUUUCAACGUGUUUAUUCCAUUCCCUUAAUUGGCCAUGCCAAUGCUCUCUAUUCCAUGUCUUCCAUUUAUACUGAUGCAAAAUAUGCUUAAAUGAGCCAUGGCCUCUCAAGACAAAUGAUUUCUACCUGUAUGUUCUAUUUUCAUAUUCAUAAUUGGUAUGGGUAAUUUCACUUUGUUUCUUUCACAUGCAUUUGACUGUAUUUCUUACACCUGGUAUGCGGACAACCCGAAUGCCUGGACUGGUUCCUUCACAAGAAGACCUUCCUUAAAACAACAGUCCGUGCUAUGAUUGGUGGUUUUACCACCCUUUUCAUUAUUCUGGCUUUCACAUGUCCAAUUUAAAUGUGAUAUAUUUUCUUGUUCCCUUGGUACUUUGUGGUGCCAUAUGCUUAAUAUCUUAUUUCUUUUCACUUUUCAGGCAUCUUGGCUUCUGGAAUUCUUUUAAGGGGAAAGCAAAUUAAAUCUCACAACAGAUACUUUAGCUGAUGCUCUAGCUCUUGCUCAGCACCAUGAUGCUGUUACAGGAACAGAGAAGCAACAUAUCACAAAUGACUAUGCGAUGAGAUUAUCAAUUGGCUAUACACAAGUGAGCUCUCAAGAAUAUUCUUAUUCAUAUUUGAUGUCUUCUUUUGGGAUUUGAUCUCUUCAAUGAGUCAGGCUCAAAAUAGCGUGUCCAUCCCAAACAACAAAAAUUGGUCAGUGCCUGCUCUGUACAUCCCCAUGGAUUAGCAGGAGGAAGAAGAAGGAAGAGGCAGAGAAGAACAGCUAAUUCCCUCAUUCAUUGCUUAACAGCGUAUAUGUGGCUUCAACUGACAAGUAUGAAAGAUUGGAUGCAUCAGGCUGCCCUCUGGAUGUUGUAAUUUGUAUGCAUUUGGACCAUUUCGAGCAAGAACAUCAUAGGGGCCGAGAAUUUAUAGACCCACUUAAGAUAUGACAUAUUGACAACUGAAGAUUGAGUAUAAGGUUGCAGCUUGCCAGCCUCAGAUAUACACUGGCGAUUCAGUAUAAGGUUGCAGCUUCAGAUAUUCUUUGUCACCCACAGGAAACUCCAGCAGAUAUCUGCUUUUAUCAGCAAUAUUCUUCAUUCUCAAAUGUUCUCUAGCCAACUGAUUCUUCAAAAAUUCAGAAUAAGCAGCCCUUGUUGUCAGCAUAUCAGUGGCUUCAUUAUCAGCUGAAGCAACUAGGUUCAGUGCCAAACAAUGCCUUGUGAGGGGAGCUACCCAAGGCUGUGGAUGGAGUGCGGUACUAGGUUCAAUUGAGUAUCAAGCUUCGCAAGCAAGUCGUUCCAAAAUUACUGUAUAUCCCUCAAUGUGAGGCAAGCCCUCUAUAAAAUUCAUGGAUAAAUCUUACCAAGCAGUGAAGAACCUUCAGUGACUGGUGGAAGGGUGAGAAGUCCAGGUAAGGACUCCAUUCAUCAACAGACAACAUGACAGUGAGGAAUCCUUUACCAUAAAUGAAAAUCUUCUGAUUUUGUGGGCUAAAGGCUGUUCAAUUAAGCCACUGGAUGACCAUUUUGACUCAGCGCAAAGGUUGACCGUUGGAUUUGCCACUGGGAAUUCAUGCUGCCUUGUCCUGGAGAAGGCAUGAUAUCACGCUGUCCCCAUUCCCCAAUGCCUUUUGGCGGUGCUUUCCAGCCCAGAUUGGUCGAUUCUGCACAGUGAGAAGUAAUCAAGUAAAGAUGUGGUGCAGGCCAUGAAAUGUACAAACAGGAAGACAGAUAAAUAUAUUGAGGCAUAAUUGCGUCGAACUCUCAGCUUUUCUGAGAUUAUAUUAAGUAAAUUUUCUCACCUCUUUUGCCGUGGAUAACCUUCUGUGAGUGUCAGAUCAGAAAUCAGUUGUGUUCAGAUGAAAUCUGCUUCCUGUAAACUCAGGCAUGAGACUGUAGCAUAUGCAUUCUCUAGCAAAAGCCUAUUAUUAGCCUUAGAUGGCAGGAUUUUUGCUUAUUUUCUAUGUUUUCUUAUCUCUCUUACGUGUUUCUUUUGUGUUCUCUCUUUUAUAUUAUUCUUGAAUCUUGACUUCUCUUAAAAGUCUGG